CAGCAGCCGCGGGAAUACGAAGGGUGCAAGCGUUAAUCGGAAUUACUGGGCGUAAAGCGUGCGUAGGCGGUUUGUUAAGUCUGUUGUGAAAUCCCCGGGCUCAACCUGGGAAUGGCAAUGGAUACUGGCAAGCUAGAGUGUGUCAGAGGAUGGUAGAAUUCCCGGUGUAGCGGUGAAAUGCGUAGAGAUCGGGAGGAACAUCAGUGGCGAAGGCGGCCAUCUGGGACAACACUGACGCUGAGGCACGAAAGCGUGGGGAGCAAACAGGAUUAGAUACCCCGGUAGUCCCUGUCUCUUAUAC
rnacentral:rRNA from 1 species